AACAAACGAGGAACACGUCGCCAAAUUAAUGAAUGCACUCAUCACUCAUUUUUAGAGAGAAAAUGGCGCAUUGCUUGACUGCUGGAAUUUUGCGGAAACUUAUUGCAUGGAAAGUUAUGUGGAGGUUCAUCGCGAGUCUUCCUUCUAUUUUUGGAGAAAAUCUUUUCUCGCUGCUGUGAGUGUGAAUGUGCGUGGGAUAUUUUCAUUUCCAACGAUGAUUGCAUAAUUGCAGACCGCGCACUUUUUCUCUUAUCUGCCGAAAUUUGCAUUCAAAACCAAGGGCCGUUGAGAAAUUAACUGAAAGGGCGACGAGCAGACCCAAUAAGAUGUAUUAUGCACAGAAAACAAGAUAAGAUCCCGGCGAGUUAUGCAUAAAUUACGGCAAUCAUAACAGAACUCGAGAGUCAUGCUCCGGCGGCGCUCGGCCCAAAAGGCUCCAACAGUGACAUGCGUGAGUGAAAAUUGUGCCUUGUGGGAGAUCCUCUGUCCGUACCUAAUUAUUAUAUUUGAUGAUGAGCAGCACAUUAAAGGGUUAUUUAUCAAGCAGCGGCGUGUGUUGAUAUUAUUGAUGGUGCCGAGAGAGUGAGUGAGGUUCUCCGAACAAACUCUUUGCAUAUAAUCGAACAUGAUGACAAGACAAGCGCGCACGACCCUGGCAUUCCAAUAAACCCAAUUUUCAAUCACUCUGACAAACAACCAAACAAAAUUAUGUUAAAUAAAUAAUCAAUUUUACUGAACAAAUAACUAGGUUGGCUGUGAAGAAAAAAAUAUAUAUUAUUUAAGAAUGGACUUUUUUAAGUCAUAG